GUCCCUGUAGCGCAAUGGAUAGCGCGUUGGACUUCUGAUGGAAAGGUCAUGGGUUCGAAUCCUAUCUGGGAUG
rnacentral:tRNA from 1 species